GACGAACGCUGGCGGCGUGCCUAAUACAUGCAAGUAGAACGCUGAAGGAGGAGCUUGCUUCUCUGGAUGAGUUGCGAACGGGUGAGUAACGCGUAGGUAACCUGCCUGGUAGCGGGGGAUAACUAUUGGAAACGAUAGCUAAUACCGCAUAAGAGUAGAUGUUGCAUGACAUUUGCUUAAAAGGUGCAAUUGCAUCACUACCAGAUGGACCUGCGUUGUAUUAGCUAGUUGGUGAGGUAACGGCUCACCAAGGCGACGAUACAUAGCCGACCUGAGAGGGUGAUCGGCCACACUGGGACUGAGACACGGCCCAGACUCCUACGGGAGGCAGCAGUAGGGAAUCUUCGGCAAUGGACGGAAGUCUGACCGAGCAACGCCGCGUGAGUGAAGAAGGGUUUCGGAUCGUAAAGCUCUGUUGUAAGAGAAGAAAGAGUGUGAGAGUGGAAAGUUCACACUGUGACGAUAUCUUACCAGAAAGGGACGGCUAACUACGUG
rnacentral:rRNA from 1 species